rnacentral:rRNA from 1 species
UACAGAGGUGGCAAGCGUUGUUCGGAAUUACUGGGCGUAAAGGGCGCGUAGGCGGCCAUCUAAGUCAGACGUGAAAUCCCCCGGCUUAACCUGGGAACUGCGUCUGAUACUGGACGGCUUGAGUGCGGGAGAGGGAUGUGGAAUUCCAGGUGUAGCGGUGAAAUGCGUAGAUAUCUGGAGGAACACCGGUGGCGAAGGCGACAUCCUGGACCGGUAUUGACGCUGAGGCGCGAAAGCCAGGGGAGCAAACGGG